GCAAGUCGAACGGUAGCACAGAGAGCUUGCUCUCGGGUGACGAGUGGCGGACGGGUGAGUAAUGUCUGGGAAACUGCCCGAUGGAGGGGGAUAACUACUGGAAACGGUAGCUAAUACCGCAUAACGUCUUCGGACCAAAGUGGGGGACCUUCGGGCCUCACACCAUCGGAUGUGCCCAGAUGGGAUUAGCUAGUAGGUGGGGUAAUGGCUCACCUAGGCGACGAUCCCUAGCUGGUCUGAGAGGAUGACCAGCCACACUGGAACUGAGACACGGUCCAGACUCCUACGGGAGGCAGCAGUGGGGAAUAUUGCACAAUGGGCGCAAGCCUGAUGCAGCCAUGCCGCGUGUAUGAAGAAGGCCUUCGGGUUGUAAAGUACUUUCAGCGGGGAGGAAGGCGAUACGGUUAAUAACCGUGUCGAUUGACGUUACCCGCAGAAGAAGCACCGGCUAACUCCGUGCCAGCAGCCGCGGUAAUACGGAGGGUGCAAGCGUUAAUCGGAAUUACUGGGCGUAAAGCGCACGCAGGCGGUCUGUCAAGUCAGAUGUGAAAUCCCCGGGCUUAACCUGGGAACUGCAUUUGAAACUGGCAGGCUUGAGUCUCGUACAGGGGG
rnacentral:rRNA from 1 species